rnacentral:rRNA from 1 species
UACGUAGGGUGCGAGCGUUGUCCGGAAUUAUUGGGCGUAAAGAGCUCGUAGGCGGUUUGUUGCGUCUAUCGUGAAAACCUGCAGCUUAACUGUGGGCUUGCGGUGGAUACUGGCAGACUUGAGUUCGGUAGGGCAGACUGGAAUUCCUGGUGUAGCGGUGAAAUGCGCAGAUAUCAGGAGGAACACCGGUGGCGAAGGCGGGUCUCUGGGCCGAUACUGACGCUGAGGAGCGAAAGCGUGGGGAGCGAACAGG